AGUAUUUUGUUGUUGUUAAUUUAAGGUGGGUUUUUUUUUUUUUUUGCUUUUUGUCGUUUGAUGUAUUUGGUUUGUAGAGCAGGAACUGUAGACAGGAUCCUGCAGAGGUAGUAUGGAACUUGUCCUCCUAAAACCCGCCCGGCUUCCAAGGACUUUUAGCCCGUGGUCUUCCUUAGCAGCACAUGGUUCCCCUACGCUUGAGAGCCGGUGCGCUUACUUUUCUCUCCGCCUUUGCUGACAGGUCCUGCUGAAGCUGAGGACAAAGCCCUACCCCUACACGGACAAGACAGCAGACCUGGUUCAGGAAGCCAGCGUGCUCCAGGUUGCUCCAGGACUCUGAUAACAUCAGCAUCCCUGUCUCUCACAUUGAUGAUGUCGUGGAUAUGCUGGCUGUUCUGAUGGAGGGCAGUGAUGGCUUAGAUGAAGAAAUUGGGUUCUCUUUAAAUGAAGAUGUGCUUAUCCAAACAUUUCCCUUCAGUGCUGUUGUCCCUGCUGCAUUAGAAGCCAGGAAUAUGCUGUUGCUUCAGUCUGAAAACGGAACAGGUACAGGGUAUUUUUAUGUUUUAUGCGUCAUUUCUAGCAGUGGAGUGAAAGUGGCAUAAUUUCUACCCUCUUGUAAUAAUUUUUUACCAUUUAUCAUUUUUUACCUUGAGGCAUUUUAUUAUCUUCCCUGCAAGCAGGAGGUGCAGAUUCAUGGUGUUUUGUGCUCAAGAGGGGCAUUGAAGCUCUGUAGGUGCUUCUGCCCUUUUUCCCUGGCCCUAAAGAGAAGGGACGCUGUCCCUGUGUGGACAGUCUUGGUCUGGAAGUAGUUGGCUUCAGUAACGCUGUGUUUUAAGGGCAGAGCUUGUAAUUCAUCCUGUAAGAUUGAAAACUCUUUUCCAUGGACAGAGAUCACAGACAGUGUCUCUGGGGGCUCUGUCCAGGGGGGUUCCUGACCCCCUGCCAGUGUCCCAGACCUGCCAGGGCAGCCAGAGGGAAGCCCUGGAUUCCCACACUCUGCUAGUCUUGUUCUCAAACAUCUACUAAGAUGAGCCAGCCACGUGGCAGGCAGCCAGAAGGGCAGCUCCCAGUGCUGCAAACCUUAUAAAAAUUUUAAAGUGGUUGUUUUUCACACUACUGCACAGGUCCACAAGCAUGCUGCUGCUCCACUGGGCUGGCAGUGUCCUGCAGUCCCCAGCACAUGACACUCCUGGGCUGCAGGUCAGCUCUGAACACUGAGGGCAUGACAAAACCCCAUUAUUGAUCCUAAGCAAUUCAGACAUACUUCCUGGCUGCCAGGGCACUUUCUAGCAGGAGUAAUGUUACCUUCAUCAAUAAUUUCACUCAGUGGCUCUUCCCUCAUAAGAAACCAAUACAUUAUGUUGAAAAAUUACAGAGUAAUCUUAUUUUUAAUGCAGAAAGAAAUCAGCAGUGAUUAUAAAUAGGAAAAAACCACAUUAAAGUACCAAUAACUCUCAGAAAUUCUCAUGAAACAAUAGCAUCUAAGUAACAUGGAGAGGAAGAGGGUCAGAGAAUAUGCCACAGAUGAGAAAGCAAUCAGGAAAUAGUGCAGACAAACCUUUUAAAAAUUAACUUCCAUGUUGUCCAUAUGCUGCAUUAUUUAACAUAGUAUGGUUACAGUACACUUUCAUUUAUCCAAGUUGUCAUCUUAGAACCAACUUCCUAUGGCUCUGGAGAUGUCUGGGACACAGGAACAUUGAGGAAAACAUCCAGUUAAAGCUGCUGUUUGAGGACUGAGACAUGAGAGUUGGGUGUUUUCGAGGUAAGUAGUCAUCAGGGCUUUAAUAAAAAAAAAAGCAGAGGACUCCACUAUGUUAUCUUCAAACAGGCUUCAAACCUGCUGUAAGUAUUGUAGCCUCUGGUCUGUUCUUUCCUUACAUCUUUAACAAGACCUUUUGUUUUCAUUUUUCA